rnacentral:rRNA from 1 species
UUGACCUCAAAUCAGGUAGGACUACCCGCUGAACUUAAGCAUAUCAAUAAGCGGAGGAAAAGAAACUAACAAGGAUUCCCCUAGUAACUGCGAGUGAAGCGGGAAAAGCUCAAAUUUAAAAUCUGGCGGUCUCCGGCCGUCCGAGUUGUAAUCUAGAGAAGUGUUAUCCGCGCUGGACCGUGUACAAGUCUCCUGGAAUGGAGCGUCAUAGAGGGUGAGAAUCCCGUCUUUGACACGGACUGCCAGGGCUUUGUGAUGCGCUCUCAAAGAGUCGAGUUGUUUGGGAAUGCAGCUCAAAAUGGGUGGUAAAUUCCAUCUAAAGCUAAAUAUUGGCGAGAGACCGAUAGCGAACAAGUACCGUGAGGGAAAGAUGAAAAGAACUUUGGAAAGAGAGUUAAACAGUACGUGAAAUUGCUGAAAGGGAAACGCUUGAAGUCAGUCGCGUUGGCCGGGGAUCAACCUUGCUUUUGCUGGGCGUACUUUCCGGUUGACGGGUCAGCAUCAAUUUUGACCGUUGGAUAAAGUCCAGGGGAAUGUGGCAUCUUCGGAUGUGUUAUAGCCCUUGGUCGCAUACAACGGUUGGGAUUGAGGAACUCAGCACGCCGAAAGGCCGGGUACUUGUACCACGUUCGUGCUUAGGAUGC